ACGAACGCUGGCGGCGUGCCUAACACAUGCAAGUCGCACGGAAAGGCCCUGCUUUUGUGGGGUGCUCGAGUGGCGAACGGGUGAGUAACACGUGAGUAACCUGCCCUUGACUUUGGGAUAACUUCAGGAAACUGGGGCUAAUACCGGAUAGGAGCUCCUGCUGCAUGGUGGGGGUUGGAAAGUUUCGGCGGUUGGGGAUGGACCCGCGGCUUAUCAGCUUGUUGGUGGGGUAGUGGCUUACCAAGGCUUUGACGGGUAGCCGGCCUGAGAGGGUGACCGGCCACAUUGGGACUGAGAUACGGCCCAGACUCCUACGGGAGGCAGCAGUGGGGAAUAUUGCACAAUGGGCGGAAGCCUGAUGCAGCAACGCCGCGUGCGGGAUGACGGCCUUCGGGUUGUAAACCACUUUCGCCUGUGACGAAGCGUGAGUGACGGUAAUGGGUAAAGAAGCACCGGCUAACUACGUG
rnacentral:rRNA from 1 species